rnacentral:rRNA from 1 species
CCUACGGGUGGCUGCAGUAAGGAAUAUUGGACAAUGGUCGCAAGACUGAUCCAGCCAUGCCGCGUGCAGGAUGACAGCCCUAUGGGUCGUAAACUGCUUUUGUGCGAGAAAAAACCCCUCUACGUGUAGAGGGCUGAUUGUAUCGUAAGAAUAAGGAUCGGCUAACUCCGUGCCAGCAGCCGCGGUAAUACGGAGGAUCCAGGCGUUAUCCGGAUUCAUGGGGUUUAAGGGGGACGUAGACGGAAUGAUAGAAAGCCUGCAGCUUAACUGCAGAACUGCCAUUGAUACUGUCAAUCUUGAGUACAUUUGAUGUGGGCGGAAUGUGUCAUGUAGCGGUGAAAUGCUUAGAUAUGACACAGAACACCGAUUGCGAAGGCAGCUCACAAAACUGUAACUGACGCUGAGGCACGAAAGCGUGGGUAUCAAACAGGAUUAGAUACCCCUGUAGUC